rnacentral:rRNA from 1 species
GCGGCGUGCCUAAUACAUGCAAGUAGAACGCUGAAGAGAGGAGCUUGCUCUUCUUGGAUGAGUUGCGAACGGGUGAGUAACGCGUAGGUAACCUGCCUUGUAGCGGGGGAUAACUAUUGGAAACGAUAGCUAAUACCGCAUAACAAUGGAUGACACAUGUCAUUUAUUUGAAAGGGGCAAAUGCUCCACUACAAGAUGGACCUGCGUUGUAUUAGCUAGUAGGUGAGGUAACGGCUCACCUAGGCGACGAUACAUAGCCGACCUGAGAGGGUGAUCGGCCACACUGGGACUGAGACACGGCCCAGACUCCUACGGGAGGCAGCAGUAGGGAAUCUUCGGCAAUGGGGGCAACCCUGACCGAGCAACGCCGCGUGAGUGAAGAAGGUUUUCGGAUCGUAAAGCUCUGUUGUAAGUCAAGAACGAGUGUGAGAGUGGAAAGUUCACACUGUGACGGUAGCUUACCAGAAAGGGACGGCUAACUACGUGCCAGCAGCCGCGGUAAUACGUAGGUCCCGAGCGUUGUCCGGAUUUAUUGGGCGUAAAGCGAGCGCAGGCGGUUUGAUAAGUCUGAAGUUAAAGGCUGUGGCUCAACCAUAGUUCGCUUUGGAAACUGUCAAACUUGAGUGCAGAAGGGGAGAGUGGAAUUCCAUGUGUAGCGGUGAAAUGCGUAGAUAUAUGGAGGAACACCGGUGGCGAAAGCGGCUCUCUGGUCUGUAACUGACGCUGAGGCUCGAAAGCGUGGGGAGCGAACAGGAUUAGAUACCCUGGUAGUCCACGCCGUAAACGAUGAGUGCUAGGUGUUGGAUCCUUUCCGGGAUUCAGUGCCGCAGCUAACGCAUUAAGCACUCCGCCUGGGGAGUACGACCGCAAGGUUGAAACUCAAAGGAAUUGACGGGGGCCCGCACAAGCGGUGGAGCAUGUGGUUUAAUUCGAAGCAACGCGAAGAACCUUACCAGGUCUUGACAUCCCGAUGCUAUUUCUAGAGAUAGAAAGUUACUUCGGUACAUCGGUGACAGGUGGUGCAUGGUUGUCGUCAGCUCGUGUCGUGAGAUGUUGGGUUAAGUCCCGCAACGAGCGCAACCCCUAUUGUUAGUUGCCAUCAUUCAGUUGGGCACUCUAGCGAGACUGCCGGUAAUAAACCGGAGGAAGGUGGGGAUGACGUCAAAUCAUCAUGCCCCUUAUGACCUGGGCUACACACGUGCUACAAUGGUUGGUACAACGAGUUGCGAGUCGGUGACGGCAAGCUAAUCUCUUAAAGCCAACCUCAGUUCGGAUUGUAGGCUGCAACUCGCCUACAUGAAGUCGGAAUCGCUAGUAAUCGCGGAUCAGCACGCCGCGGUGAAUACGUUCCCGGGCCUUGUACACACCGCCCGUCACACCACGAGAGUUUGUAACACCCGAAGUCGGUGAGGUAACCUUUUGGAGCCAGCCGCCUAAGGUGGGAUAGAUGAUUGGG